rnacentral:rRNA from 1 species
UACGGGGGGGGCAAGCGUUGUUCGGAAUUACUGGGCGUAAAGGGCUCGUAGGCGGCCAACUAAGUCAGACGUGAAAUCCUUCGGCUUAACCGGGGAACUGCGUCUGAUACUGGAUGGCUUGAGUUUGGGAGAGGGAUGCGGAAUUCCAGGUGUAGCGGUGAAAUGCGUAGAUAUCUGGAGGAACACCGGUGGCGAAGGCGGCAUCCUGGACCAACACUGACGCUGAGGAGCGAAAGCGUGGGGAGCAAACAGG